rnacentral:sRNA from 12 species
UUUUAGGGAUAUCGGGCACAGGUUCUCCUCCUCCGACUGUUCUCCUUCACAGUUCGUGAUCCUGCGUGCCGCACAGGCGGUAUCCCGCUUCGUGUGCAAAAAAGCUCGUC